GUCAUAUGAAGCUGACGUAUUAAACAAAAAUGUCAACAAAAUAGAUUUUGUCUCCCCAUCGGCAGAUUGUUCUGUUGUUCUGCGGUAGUGGUAGUUUUGAAAGUACCAUUAAAAUGAUAAUUGAGGCAAAAACUGACUUACUGGUAGUAUUUCUAUGUAUGAAAUUGUUAUUAAAUUCUGUAUAUCAAAUGAUUCAUUUAAGUAUUAAUUAUUAUCAUUUGUUAUAUAUGAUAUUGUACAGUAUUCAGUGGCAAGCUAGCCAUGGCAACUGGUUAUGAUAUGCCAAUAAACCUGCAUCAAUUUGAAUAAUGCAAAUCAUUAAAAACUUGCAUAGCAUGACCUGUAGACUUUCACAAAGUCCUUCAUCUUUGUUUAGAACGAAGGAAUUUUCAAGGAAGUAAUUUCUUGAAGAGUAGGGAAUUUGUGGAAGUCAAUACAAUUGGAAUAUUUAGCUGAGCUUCGAUUUUGUGCAAAGUGUUUUCAUAUUCAGAUUGCACUUUUUCUACCACCUGAACAGGUGUCUUAGGGGUGCUUUUCGUGUUUAUGUGAUGGAAGGGGG